UGCUACCGUCUCUGCAGAUCUGUCUCCUUUCCUAGUCCCUGUGUAUGAUCCAUUUACCUAACUAAAAACCCCUCUGCGUGAACCCUGCUGCAUGGCGUCUUCUCUCGAGCCACUUUCCUUAAAAUUAUAGCAGGAUCAAACAUCGCCCAUGCCUCUUCUUCACUGUGCCCAUCCCUUCCUGUUUCCUAGGCGCAGAGAAGUUGAAGAUCACCGCAAAAGACUGAGGUGGUUCCGGAGAGCCCCUUGCAGCUGUGGAGUAGGAGCACGGCCUGCCUAGUCAUUUACACACUGUCUACUAAGUGCUCCCGUGCCUCAGUGCUCCUCUAUGGUCCGCCGCUUCACGUCCAUGUCCAAAAAAUAACAUCCACAUGAUGGAGUUUUCAUGAAGACUUGAAUAAAUAAUGCAGAUGGAGAAAGACCUACCACAGACUCUGCCUGUUCCCUGUGCUUAACAGAUGACAAUGAUUGUUAUUAUUUCUAAAUAUUAUGCAACCUAAAACAACAUCUUAAUGGCACCAAUUAAGUGAUUAAAAUAAACUAGCUAAAGACA